UACGUAGGGGGCAAGCGUUGUCCGGAUUUAUUGGGCGUAAAGAGCGUGUAGGCGGCCAGAUAGGUCCGUUGUGAAAACUGGAGGCUUAACCUCCAGCGGUCGAUGGAAACCAUCUGGCUAGAGUCCGGAAGAGGAGAGUGGAAUUCCUGGUGUAGCGGUGAAAUGCGCAGAUAUCAGGAAGAACACCCGUGGCGAAAGCGGCUCUCUGGGACGGUACUGACGCUGAGACGCGAAAGCGUGGGGAGCGAACAGG
rnacentral:rRNA from 1 species